rnacentral:rRNA from 1 species
UACGUAGGGGGCAAGCGUUGUCCGGAUUUACUGGGCGUAAAGAGCGUGUAGGCGGCCAGACCGGUCCGUUGUGAAAACUGGGAGCACUCAACCUUCAGACGUCGACGGAAACCGUCUGGCUAGAGUCCGGAAGAGGAGAGUGGAAUUCCUGGUGUAGCGGUGAAAUGCGCAGAAUAUCAGGAAGAACACCGAUGGCGAAGGCAGCUCUCUGGGACGGUACUGACGCUGAGACGCGAAAGCGUGGGGAGCGAACAGG